CCUACGGGAGGCAGCAGUGGGGAAUUUUGCGCAAUGGGGGAAACCCUGACGCAGCAACGCCGCGUGCGGGACGAAGGCCCUCGGGUCGUAAACCGCUUUCAGCAGGGAAGACCACGACGGUACCUGCAGAAGAAGCUCCGGCUAACUACGUGCCAGCAGCCGCGGUAAUACGUAGGGGGCGAGCGUUAUCCGGAUUCAUUGGGCGUAAAGGGAGUGUAGGCGGAUAUGUAAGAUAGCGGUGAAAUGCCGGGGCUCAACCCCGGAACUGCCAUUAUGACUAUGUAUCUAGAGUAAUGGAGAGGAUAGCGGAAUACCCAGUGUAGAGGUGAAAUUCGUAGAUAUUGGGUAGAACACCGGUGGCGAAGGCGGCUAUCUGGCCAUUGACUGACGCUGAGGCUCGAAAGCAUGGGGAUCAAACAGGAUUAGAUACCCCAGUAGUC
rnacentral:rRNA from 1 species